UACUGAGGGGGUUAGCGUUGUUCGGAAUUACUGGGCGUAAAGCGCGCGUAGGCGGACUGGAAAGUUGGGGGUGAAAUCCCGAGGCUCAACCCCGGAACGGCCUCCAAAACUAUCAGUCUAGAGUUCGAGAGAGGUGAGUGGAACUCCGAGUGUAGAGGUGAAAUUCGUAGAUAUUCGGAGGAACACCAGUGGCGAAGGCGGCUCACUGGCUCGAUACUGACGCUGAGGUGCGAAAGCGUGGGGAGCAAACAGG
rnacentral:rRNA from 1 species